CAGAAACUCAGCCUGAGAAUCCCUGGUCCCUUCUCUGAUGCUAUUUUCCCUACUUCCAAGAGUUGGGUCCAGCAGACAAGUGACAAGCCUGGGGAAGUUGACUCUGAGUCUCUCUAAGCUUUCAAAGAUUUUGUGUCUCUUCCUUCUCAAAAGGGGAAAUACGCAGGAUGUAACACCUCAUCGAAGCAGUGCAUCUUCAUUGAUGGAGAAGGUGGUUUCAACAAUUUACAUUCCCUGGUUGGUGAAGAAUUUGAAGUUCUACUUUACACAAAAUGAUAUUACUUGAAUCUGACAGUGAACAGUCAAAGCUAUGAAACCGCAUAGGAAAGUUUUGAACGGGAACUAAUCCUCACAGUGUGAAGUUGGAAUGAUUAUUUAGACAUUUUGGGAAAAAGCCAACUGC
rnacentral:lncRNA from 1 species